rnacentral:antisense_RNA from 15 species
CGUUAUGGUGGUUGUGCGUGGGGAGACUUCGGUCUGCCAGGUACCUUGUGACUGGUCUGCUAACCCUGCGUGCAGCCACCACCC